GACGAACGCUGGCGGCGUGCCUAAUACAUGCAAGUCGAACGCAGUGGGGACGGGUGAGUAACACGUGGGUAACCUCCCAUCAGAGGGGAUAACACUUCGAAACAGGCGCCAAACCGAUACUGAUGGAUGGACCCGCGGUGCAUUAGCUAUCUGGUGAGGUAACGGCUCACCAAGGCCACGAUGCGUAGCCGGCCUGAUAGGGGGAUCGGCCACACUGGGACUGAGACCCGGCCCAGACUCCUACGGGAGGCAGCAGUGGGGAAUCUUCGGCAAUGGACGAAAGCCUGACCUAGCAACGCCGCGUGAGUGAAGAAGGUUUUCGGGUCGUAAAACUCUGUUGUUGGAGAGGCGGUAUCUAACCAGAAAGCCACGGCUAACUACGUGCCAGCCGCCGCGGUAAUUC
rnacentral:rRNA from 1 species